rnacentral:misc_RNA from 1 species
CUGCCGCCGCUCACCGUCGACCACCGUCCGUUCUACGACCGUCGCCGAGCCCGCGCCCCGUAUGUUGCCUCGGUGAGUUUCGCCUCGCCGUCAGCUACUUGGGAACCCUCUGGUUUGCCCUUCCCCUCCCUGGUUUGCCCGGUCCACGCUCACCGGAGCGUUUCUUGCGCAGCCGGAGCCCGCCACCGUCGACCCGAGGCUCCACCGCACCUCCGCCGUUCUCCAAGUGUCCCGGAGUUCGCACUCGAGGCCCUUGCUCGACUGCUCGGCCGUCCAUCUCUCUCCUGCUCGGCCGCGCACUGGACCUUGCUCCAGCUCGCCGACCGGAGCUUCGCUCGUCCCCAUGGCGACUGCUCGGUCUGCGCGCUCGGCGUCCAUCUCCAGCCAGCGCUCUCUCCAACCAAGGUCUUCUUCCUGUGCGCGCUAUCCUGCGCACGCACCGUGACCUGCUCGGCCUAA